UACGGAGGGGGCUAGCGUUGUUCGGAAUUACUGGGCGUAAAGCGCGCGUAGGCGGCUUUGUAAGUCAGAGGUGAAAGCCCGGGGCUCAACUCCGGAAUUGCCUUUAAAACUGCAUCGCUAGAAUUGUGGAGAGGUAAGUGGAAUUCCGAGUGUAGAGGUGAAAUGCGUAGAUAUCUGGAGGAACACCGGUGGCGAAGGCGGCAUUCUGGACCGAUAUUGACGCUGAGGAGCGAAAGCCAGGGGAGCAAACGGG
rnacentral:rRNA from 1 species